AACGAACGCUGGCGGCAGGCCUAACACAUGCAAGUCGAGCGGACAUCUUCGGAUGUUAGCGGCGGACGGGUGAGUAACGCGUGGGAACGUGCCCUUUGCUUCGGAAUAGCCUCGGGAAACUGGGAGUAAUACCGGAUGUACCCUUUGGGGGAAAGAUUUAUCGGCAAAGGAUCGGCCCGCGUUGGAUUAGGUAGUUGGUGGGGUAAUGGCCUACCAAGCCGACGAUCCAUAGCUGGUUUGAGAGGAUGAUCAGCCACACUGGGACUGAGACACGGCCCAGACUCCUACGGGAGGCAGCAGAGGGGAAUCUUAGACAAUGGGGGAAACCCUGAUCUAGCCAUGCCGCGUGAGCGAUGAAGGCCUUAGGGUUGUAAAGCUCUUUCACCGGGGAAGAUAAUGACGGUACCCGGAGAAGAAGCCCCGGCUAACUCCGUG
rnacentral:rRNA from 1 species